GCGCUCGCUUCGGCAGCACCUAUACUAAAAUUGGAACCAUACAGAGAAGAUUAGCAUGGCCCCUGCGCAAGGAUGACACGUAAAUUCAUGAAGCGUUAAAAAAAAAG